rnacentral:rRNA from 1 species
CCUACGGGCGGCUGCAGUGAGGAAUAUUGGUCAAUGGGCUUACGCCUGACCCAGCAAAGUCGCGUGAGGGAAGACUGCCCUCUGGGUUUUAAACCUCUUUUUUCAGGGCGCAAUUGGCGCUACUUGUAGCGGUAUCGAGAGUACCUGAAGAAAAACCAUCAGCUAACUCCGUGCCAGCAGCCGCGGUAAUACGGGGGAUGCGAGCGUUAUCCGGAUUUAUUGGGUUGAAAGGAUGCGUAGGCGGAAUGCCCAGUCAGCGGUAAAAUCGCGGGGCUCAACCUCGCUCCGCAGUUGAAACUGGCGUUCUUGAGUGGGCGAGAAGUAUGCGGAAUGCGGGGUGUAGCGGUGAAAUGCAGAGAUAUCAGGAAGAACUCCGAUUGCGAAGGCAGCAUACUGGAGCCCAACUGACGCUGAAGCACGAAAGCGUGGGUAUCGAACAGGAUUAGAUACCCUAGUAGUC